rnacentral:rRNA from 1 species
AACGAACGCUGGCGGCAUGCCUAACACAUGCAAGUCGAACGAGACCUUCGGGUCUAGUGGCGCACGGGUGCGUAACGCGUGGGAACCUGCCCUUAGGUUCGGAAUAACUCCCCGAAAGGGGUGCUAAUACCGGAUAAUGUCUUCGGACCAAAGAUUUAUCGCCUUUGGAUGGGCCCGCGUUGGAUUAGCUAGUUGGUAGGGUAAAAGCCUACCAAGGCGACGAUCCAUAGCUGGUCUGAGAGGAUGAUCAGCCACACUGGGACUGAGACACGGCCCAGACUCCUACGGGAGGCAGCAGUGGGGAAUAUUGGACAAUGGGCGAAAGCCUGAUCCAGCAAUGCCGCGUGAGUGAUGAAGGCCUUAGGGUUCUAAAGCUCUUUUACCCGGGAUGAUAAUGACAGUACCGGGAGAAUAAGCUCCGGCUAACUCCGU